GUAGAUCUACCAGGUGCAGGGAAGCACUCCACACCCUCACCCAGGUCCUGUAUCCCUGCAAGACUGCGUUGGAAAGACUGAAGAGGAAGCUAAAGAAUGAUGCGCUCCACCACAAUGAGGGACUAAACAACAAAAAGGAGGCAUGAGAUUCAGGAAGCAAAAAAGGAAUUCAUCAUAUGAAGGAAUGAAGAUGUUCAAAAGAAAACCUUCAACCUCAUGCCAGAAGAUGUUCCCAGCUGUAUAAAUGCCUAACUCAGCUUCUAGUCCUUGGAAAUUAAGCAGCUCAUUGAAAAUUCAAGAGUUCCAGCCAGAAGCUACAGCUAGGCUCAGAUGUUGAAAUCAGUCUCUCCUGCUGAUCAAACUGUGACAUAGCCAAAGCAAUAGGCCUGGCUUUUCAGUUAAUUCUCAGCGAGCCCUUCCUUUCCCUCUGUAGUGGUUGGUGUGGCAUUUAUAAUAUAACUCCUUUAUGUACACUGUAAACCAUUCCUUCUCAGGGCAGAUGGAAGUAUGAAAUCUAUCUAUUUCAGUCUAUAAAAUUAUAUUUAGAGCGUUAGGUAAUGAAUGUCCUAGUAAAGUCGGCAGAGGACAGGUAGGUUAAAUGACAAGUAAGGAAUGACAGGCAGGUAGUAGAUGAUAAGAGUUGCAGAACAGUUUGGGGAGAAGGACUUU
rnacentral:lncRNA from 1 species